rnacentral:rRNA from 1 species
UACGAAGGGGGCUAGCGUUGCUCGGAAUCACUGGGCGUAAAGGGCGCGUAGGCGGCCAACUAAGUCGGAUGUGAAAUCCCCAGGCUUAACCUGGGAACUGCAUCCGAUACUGGAUGGCUUGAAUCCGGGAGAGGGAUGCAGAAUUCCAGGUGUAGCGGUGAAAUGCGUAGAUAUCUGGAGGAAUACCGGUGGCGAAGGCGGCAUCCUGGACCGGCAUUGACGCUGAGUGAGCGAAAGCCAGGGGAGCAAACGGG